rnacentral:tRNA from 1 species
GGGUGUAGCUCAGUGGUAGACUGCAUGAUUAGCAUGCAUGAGGUCCUGGGUUCCAUCCCCAGUACCUCCA